rnacentral:misc_RNA from 1 species
UUUCCGUAGGUGAACCUGCGGAAGGAUCAUUAUCGAAUUUCGAGGGGAAGGAAGAUGAGGAGUGGAGACUGUCGCUGGCUUUCCCGCCUGGGAAGCAUGUGCACGCCUUGCUUUUCGUUGACCUUUCUCUUACUCUCACACCUGUGCACCCAUUGUAGGUCCUCGAAAGAGGAUCUAUGUUUUUAUCAUCACACGCAUCGUAUGUCCAUAGAAUGUAACAUGAUCGUCGAUCGACCUCGCGGUCGGGUGGCGGUCUAAACAAAUAAAUACAACUUUCAGCAACGGAUCUCUUGGCUCUC